rnacentral:rRNA from 1 species
UGAGGUAUGCUGGAGGUAUCAGAAGUGCGAAUGCUGACAUAAGUAACGAUAAAGCGGGUGAAAAGCCCGCUCGCCGGAAGACCAAGGGUUCCUGUCCAACGUUAAUCGGGGCAGGGUGAGUCGACCCCUAAGGCGAGGCCGAAAGGCGUAGUCGAUGGGAAACAGGUUAAUAUUCCUGUACUUGGUGUUACUGCGAAGGGGGGACGGAGAAGGCUAUGUUGGCCGGGCGACGGUUGUCCCGGUUUAAGCGUGUAGGCUGGUUUUCCAGGCAAAUCCGGAAAAUCAAGGCUGAGGCGUGAUGACGAGGCACUACGGUGCUGAAGCAACAAAUGCCCUGCUUCCAGGAAAAGCCUCUAAGCAUCAGGUAACAUCAAAUCGUACCCCAAACCGACACAGGUGGUCAGGUAGAGAAUACCAAGGCGCUUGAGAGAACUCGGGUGAAGGAACUAGGCAAAAUGGUGCCGUAACUUCGGGAGAAGGCACGCUGAUAUGUAGGUGAAGUCCCUCGCGGAUGGAGCUGAAAUCAGUCGAAGAUACCAGCUGGCUGCAACUGUUUAUUAAAAACACAGCACUGUGCAAACACGAAAGUGGACGUAUACGGUGUGACGCCUGCCCGGUGC